rnacentral:lncRNA from 1 species
UCCUUGUGGUUUUAGGAAUUGUCUCUGGACCCUUGACCCAGAGUCCUGUUUUUCAGGGCCUUCAGAUCUGUGAGCUUUCCAAUGUCCUUUUAAGAUAACUGUCUUUCUGCUAAACAAGCCAGAGUCAGCUUUACUGUUUGCAACUAAGAACUCUGAGUGGUACAUUUUUUGGAAUGCAUUUUCUACAAUGGAACUCACACACGUGUCUGAUUCAAUCACGCUUGAGGGCACACAACCUCCUCACCUCGGCUCAGAAAGCCCUCCAGGACCAUGCCUUCCCUUCUGCGGCCACCUCAUUGGGCAACUCCCUCCUCCUUUCCUACUUUGACGGAGCCGUUGUUCCUUUCCUUAAACAUGCCAAGCUCGUGCCACACUCAGGGCCUUUGCACAUGCUGUUGCUUCUGCCUGGAGGGUGCUCCCAUUGGAUCUUCAGGUGCCUGAUUGCUCGAUUUGUUUUAUUUUGUUUUGCUUUUCAUUCAGAGCUCAGAUUGCUCAAUUUAAAUGAGCAAUCUCUGUAGAGAUCUCUUUCCUGACUGACUACACAAUCCAACAUGGUCAACAUAUCACAGUAGUUUGCUUUUCUGCAGAGCAGGAAUCACUGUUGGAUAUUUUUCUUAUGUGUUAAUGUUUAUUAUGGGCCCCUCAUACUCCUCAAAGAAGAUAAACCCCAUGAGAGCAGGAGUUGUGUUUACAAAUAUUUUCUCCCAGUCUUGUGCUUGUCUUUCCAUAUUCUUAAUGGUGUCUUGUGAAGCACAAAAAUGUUUGAGGAGGUCCUACUGAUCAAUGUAUUCUUUUACAGGUCACACUUGGGGUGUCAUAACUAUGAAAUCUUUGUUUAACUCAAGGUCUUGAAGAUUUUCUCCUGUACUGACUUCUAAAUGUUUUCUUGUUUUAGUUGUUACAU